UCAGUUCGGAUCGGAGUCUGCAACCCGACUCCGUGAAGCUGGAUUCGCUAGUAAUCGCGCACCAGCCAUGGCGCGGUGAAUACGUUCCCGGGCCUUGUACACACCGCCCGUCAAGCCAUGGGAGCCGGGAGCGCUUGAAGUGCGUCGCCGCGAGGCGCGCCCUAGAGCGAGACCGGUGACUGGGGCUAAGUCGUAACAAGGUACC
rnacentral:rRNA from 1 species